CGGCACUCCCAACCUCCAGGCCCCAUGGCCACUUCCUCCCUCCUGCGAGGACAGCUGGCAACUGGGGUGCAGUACCCUCCCUGCCCCCCGCCCCCUUCUUUGGGCCACACGCUGUGAGAAGGGGUCUAGAUCCUCGAGGGGGGGAUGGCUGCCCUGUGCCGGCUCUGCAGGCACAUGAUAGCCGACUGCCACUGCUGGGGCGAGGAGGGGGGGCCUCUUUCCACCCGACAGAUACCGACACCCAAUAUAGAAACCGAGAAGAGCCAGGCAGGAAAACACAAGCUCUCACCCGUCUGGAGGCUCCGCGGCUUGGCGCCCAGAUAUGCCAGGUUCACGUUGGCCUUGCGGCCGUCGAUGAUGGGGUUCGGGUCUUUGCAAGCCCUCUCAGCUGCCGCCCGGUCGGCCAUGGUCACCUGGUGGAGCAGAGACACAUCAGGGGCUGCCGUGGGGGGAACCAGGGGCGAAAGGGGCAGACGGCUCCGCCCUGGCACCGGAUGCUGCCACCCCUCUCUUCCCUUCCUCUGAGGGUGCCUGUGACCCAGGGUCCUUGAGCCAAAGCUCCUCUGAACCCUACCUGGGGCUCUCCCACAAAGAUGCCUCCUGGAUUCCAGCUCCUCCCGUCAAAGUUCAAGGCCUGGGAAAUGUGGCCUUCAAGGACAAAAAUAAUCCCCUGCGGGGAUAGGGCAAAAAUGAACCCCGAAGGGAGCUUGGGGGGCCGCCUGGACUUGCCCACCAGUGAGGGCCGAGACUUUCCUCUGAGAAGGAGUUUGCGACGCUAUGCUUGGAAGGUAAGCAGGAAAGUGUCUUCAAGACGUUUUUACUUAAGCUGAUGUUUAUUUGGGGCGGCUGAGAGGGCUGUUAAAAAUAUGGGGGAGGCCGAAGAGCUCCUAACACCCCGGGGUGGAGCCAUUGCUCCUCACCCCCCGCUGCUCCAGGAAAUCCCGAGUGCCCUCUGGCUCCAAAACCUCCCCACCAACUUAGGAGUCCUAAUUGAACACAGCGGCUCUUCCUUUUAAACCGGGGGUGGGGGUGGGGGUGGGGGUGGGGGUGGGGGCCGGGGCCUGGGGUGGUGGGGGCGGGACCGGCAGGAGCGCGCCCGGGAGAGGCGGCAGGUGCGGGCGCCGGCUGGAGGCGCCUGGGGCGGGGGCGGCAGCGGGCCGUCUGGGCGUGUGCCCCGGAGUGGACUCGGCGCCCGGGCCGCGAUAAGGUGUGCGGCGGGGUGCGGGCCCGGGCGCGGGGGCCACUUACGAAGCCGUAGCCGCGGGACUUGCCCGUCUGGCGGUCGGUGAUGACCACGGCCUCCUCGAUGUCGCCGAAGCCCUCGAAGUACUUCCUGAGCGAGGCGUCGGUAGUGUGGUACGGCAGGCCGCCCACGAAGAUCUUGGUGAACGUGGUGUCCUUCUGCGAGCCGUGCAUGGCGCCGGGGGCGGCCAGGGGCCGCGGGAAGCCCGCGCUCGGGGCGCACGGCGCGGGCUGCAGCAGCAUGGGGGGCAGCGGAGCACAGAUCAUAUUCCCUGGCCCCACGGAGCGUCCAGGACUGAGAAUUCGGCUAGUAAACAUACAGCAUACGACCCCGGAGGGAGCUACACCACGGUGCCGCGAUAGAAGCGGGUCCCGGGCGGUCUCAGAGGCCCCGCGGGAGAUGAGGUGGGCAGAGGAAGCAGGUGUGGGCUCUUUCCAGCUCCACCCCGUUCUGGGCUGGUGUCAGGGACCCUUGGGGCGAGUAAGAGCAGACCCGGGUCCCUCAUCCGGCCCCCAGCCAUAGAAAGGCGGCGCAUAGUGGGGCUCUGUGAGCUUCACACCAGGCAGGGCCAGCCACAGAAUUUUCGGGGCCCAGUGCAAAAUGCAAACGCG
rnacentral:lncRNA from 1 species